GGCAGUGUGGCCGAGUGGUUAAGGCGUCAGACUUGAAAUCUGAUCCCUACGGGGUCGCCGGUUCGAAUCCGGUCGCUGUCG
rnacentral:tRNA from 1 species